CAGUCUUUCUGCCACCAAGAGGGGACAAGAAACUGGGGACCGGGGAAAGGAGGGUGCUGUAAGGAAGGACUAGCCUGAUUCAGCCAAGGAAAAGAUACCAUU